CCCGUAUCCGAAGGUGUUAGUGUUGUGAACUCGACGAGUAGGGCGGGACACGUGUUAUCCUGUCUGAAUAUGGGGGGACCAUCCUCCAAGGCUAAAUACUCCUGAUUGACCGAUAGUGAACCAGUACCGUGAGGGAAAGGCGAAAAGAACCCCGGCGAGGGGAGUGAAAUAGAACCUGAAACCGUGUACGUACAAGCAGUGGGAGCCUUGAUUUAUCAGGGUGACUGCGUACCUUUUGUAUAAUGGGUCAGCGACUUAUAUUCUGUAGCAAGGUUAACCGUAUAGGGGAGCCGUAGGGAAACCGAGUCUUAACUGGGCGAAUGAGUUGCAGGGUAUAGACCCGAAACCCGGUGAUCUAGCCAUGGGCAGGUUGAAGGUUGGGUAACACUAACUGGAGGACCGAACCGACUAAUGUUGAAAAAUUAGCGGAUGACUUGUGGCUGGGGGUGAAAGGCCAAUCAAACCGGGAGAUAGCUGGUUCUCCCCGAAAGCUAUUUAGGUAGCGCCUCGUGAACUCAUCUUCGGGGGUAGAGCACUGUUUCGACUAGGGGGUCAUCCCGACUUACCAACUCGAUGCAAACUACGAAUACCGAAGAAUGUUAUCACGGGAGACACACGGCGGGUGCUAACGUUCGUCGUGAAGAGGGAAACAACCCAGACCGCCAGCUAAGGUCCCAAAGUCAUAGUUAAGUGGGAAACGAAGUGGGAAGGCUCAGACAGCCAGGAUGUUGGCUUAGAAGCAGCCAUCAUUUAAAGAAAGCGUAAUAGCUCACUGGUCGAGUCGGCCUGCGCGGAAGAUGUAACGGGGCUAAACUAUGCACCGAAGCUGCGGCAGCGAUAUGUAAAUAUUGUUGGGUAGGGGAGCGUUCUGUAAGCCUGUGAAGGUGUACUGUGAGGUAUGCUGGAGGUAUCAGAAGUGCGAAUGCUGACAUAAGUAACGAUAAUGCGGGUGAAAAACCCGCACGCCGGAAGACCAAGGGUUCCUGUCCAACGUUAAUCGGGGCAGGGUGAGUCGACCCCUAAGGCGAGGCAGAAAUGCGUAGUCGAUGGGAAACGGGUUAAUAUUCCCGUACUGGUGAUAAUUGCGAUGGGGGGACGGAGAAGGCUAGGCUAUCCGGGCGACGGUUGUCCCGGUUUAAGAAUGUAGGCAGGUGAAUUAGGCAAAUCCGGUUCACUA
rnacentral:rRNA from 1 species